ACGCCGAUGGUGAAGUGGUUAUCAUGCUUGCCUUCCACUUGAGGUAGCAAGCGGCACGGGUUCGAUUCCCGUUCGGCGUA